UACGGAGGGGGCUAGCGUUGUUCGGAAUUACUGGGCGUAAAGCGCGUGUAGGCUGCGGAGUAAGUCGGAUGUGAAAUCCCUUGGCUUAACCAAGGAAGUGCAUCCGAUACUGUUUCGCUUGAGUGUCGGAGGGGAUGGCGGAAUUCCCGGUGUAGAGGUGAAAUUCGUAGAUAUCGGGAGGAACACCUGUGGCGAAGGCGGCCAUCUGGACGACAACUGACGCUGAGACGCGAAAGCGUGGGUAGCAAACAGG
rnacentral:rRNA from 1 species